ACUGCAGGGGAAGGAAGCAGAUAAAGAAAGAGAGUCUUGUUGUUAAAUAAACCACCUCAGAUAGCAGUGUGUAUACACCAUCUGCAUACGCCCUCCUAAGUGCCUCCUAUUACCACUUUGAACUAAUUGUUAGGCAGUGAGUAUAUAAAAACGUGUGUGCAGCUCUAUCAAACUGUUCAUCAGCCAUGGACAGAACUGUGCUUCUGGUCCUGUUGACUCUGCAGGUUUUCCUGCUCAUCACAGCCUUCGCUUCUGCUGACACAGCUCUGGUGACAGAUGAUCAACAACAACCAAAUGCUCUGCCUCGCCUAAUGGUGACCUGACUGCACCAGGUGGUUGUUGCACAGAACCAUCUGGGAAGUCGCUGUUUGGAAGAGGACAGGCACUUAAAAUACCACUAUCUAUCACGAGCGAACCAACCAGAUCUACAAACCAUAUAAUGUAUAAUGAUUCUUAUAUAUAUAUAUAUAUAUAUAUAUUGACUAUAUAUAUAUAUAUAUAUCUCACCUGAUCUCUCAAGUCCAUCUGGCUUUUGGGUGUUCACAGGAAUUUCAGGAGUUAUAGUUGCUGACAAAUACAUUAAUAAACAUUGCUUGCAACCACA